rnacentral:rRNA from 1 species
CAGCAGUAGCCACGGGAAUACGGAGGAUCCAAGCGUUAUCCGGAAUCAUUGGGUUUAAAGGGUCCGUAGGCGGUCUUGUAAGUCAGUGGUGAAAGCCCAUCGCUCAACGGUGGAACGGCCAUUGAUACUGCAGGACUUGAAUUAUUGGGAAGUAACUAGAAUAUGUAGUGUAGCGGUGAAAUGCUUAGAGAUUACAUGGAAUACCAAUUGCGAAGGCAGGUUACUACCAAUUGAUUGACGCUGAUGGACGAAAGCGUGGGUAGCGAACAGGAUUAGAUACCCGAGUAGUCCCUGUCUCUUAUAC